CCUACGGGGGGCAGCAGUGAGGAAUAUUGGUCAAUGGACGAGAGUCUGAACCAGCCAAGUAGCGUGAAGGAUGACUGCCCUAUGGGUUGUAAACUUCUUUUAUAUGGGAAUAAAACGUUCCACGUGUGGGAUUUUGUAUGUACCAUAUGAAUAAGGAUCGGCUAACUCCGUGCCAGCAGCCGCGGUAAUACGGAGGAUCCGAGCGUUAUCCGGAUUUAUUGGGUUUAAAGGGAGCGUAGGUGGAUAGUUAAGUCAGUUGUGAAAGUUUGCGGCUCAACCGUAAAAUUGCAGUUGAAACUGGCAGUCUUGAGUACAGUAGAGGUGGGCGGAAUUCGUGGUGUAGCGGUGAAAUGCUUAGAUAUCACGCAGAACUCCGAUUGCGAAGGCAGUUCACUGGACUGCAACUGACACUGAGGCUCGAAAGUGUGGGUAUCAAACAGGAUUAGAUACCCGUGUAGUC
rnacentral:rRNA from 1 species